rnacentral:rRNA from 1 species
UCCAAUACCAACAUUAGUGUGCGAUGGAAGGACGCUUAGGGCUAAGGGGGCUAGCGGAUGGAAGUGCUAGUCUAAGGUCGUAGGAGGUUAUACAGGCAAAUCCGUAUAACAAUACUCCGAGAACUGAAAGGCUUUUUGAAGUCUUCGGAUGGAUAGAAGAACCCCUGAUGCCGUCGAGCCAAGAAAAGUUUCUAAGUUUAGCUAAUGUUGCCCGUACCGUAAACCGACACAGGUGGGUGGGAUGAGUAUUCUAAGGCGCGUGGAAGAACUCUCUUUAAGGAACUCUGCAAAAUAGCACCGUAUCUUCGGUA